CUGCAGGAAACGGAAGCAGAGAAGAGUCGCGAGACUUGGCUAGACCGCAUGCCUCCCCAGACCCCUCCCCUCCCUCCCGGCGCACCUUCUGACCCAGCUUUCUCGGUUGCACGUGGAGUUGUUUUGGCUCAAUCUCACGUGGCCGCGGAAGUGCCGGCGCUACAAGUCCGCCCCCAAGAUGGCGGCACCCAAUGAAUGGGGUCGCGAUCCGCUUCUGCUCAGUCUCGAAGUAUAGCCUUUGCGGUGUCUGCGGGGCCAUGGAGCGGCCUGGGUUCAUGGCUUCGCUGGUGGCUGGUGGGGUAGCAGGUGUCUCUGUUGACUUGAUAUUAUACCCUCUGGAUACCAUUAAAACCAGGCUGCAGAGUCCACAAGGAUUUAAUAAGGCUGGUGGUUUUCGUGGAAUAUAUGCUGGCGUUCCUUCUGCUGCUAUUGGAUCUUUUCCUAAUGCUGCUGCUUUUUUUAUCACCUAUGAAUAUGUGAAAUGGUUUUUACAUACUGAUUCGUCUUCAUAUUUGAUGCCCAUGAAGCAUAUGUUGGCUGCCUCUGCUGGAGAAGUGGUUGCCUGUCUGAUUCGUGUUCCUUCGGAAGUGGUUAAGCAGAGGGCACAGGUGUCUUCCUCUUCAAGAACAUUUCACAUUUUCUCUAACGUCUUAUAUCAAGAGGGCAUCCGAGGAUUGUAUCGAGGCUACACAAGCACAGUUUUAAGAGAGAUUCCUUUCUCAUUGGUCCAGUUUCCCUUGUGGGAGUCCUUAAAAGUGGAUUUGCAGCUGUGGUCACCACGCCUCUGGAUGUGGCAAAAACAAGGAUCAUGUUGGCAAAGGUUGGUUCCAGCACCGCUAGUGGGAAUGUGCUCUCUGCCCUGCACGGGGUCUGGCGGACACAGGGGCUGGCGGGUGCUGGUGUCUCCUUGCUGUCAUGUGACCCGGCAGCGCCAGAAUUCCGGCAGAGGAUGGGUGUCGCGAGCCUUCCUUUCCGGGGCCCUGGAAAGAUUAUUUGCAGGUGUCUUCCCUCGAACGGCAGCCAUCAGUCUGGGAGGCUUCAUCUUUCUUGGUGCUUAUGACCAAACCCGCAGCUUGUUAUUGGAACUUGGCAGAGGGAGCCCCUGAAUCCAGGACGGCCCCACAUGCACUUCUGUCCAGAAAGGGGGCUGCUGUGUGCACGGGCUCCCUUCCGGCGAGCAGCUGCUCGCCCAUCUGAACCGCCCGCACCGCGCCCCUGUGUGUGAGGACAGGACCUUGAGGAUGUCUUGCCUGCUCCAGGCUGGCUGGAACGUCGACUGCCGCCUGUCUGCCAGAUCGCCAAGAGGACCGUGUCCACAGCGAGUUUACAGAGAAGGAUCCACCGGCCGGCGUGGUGUGUGUGAAAGCAAGCUGGUAGUUGCAGCUCCAGGGACGAGGUGGGCCCGGUGCGUCCACGGAGGGUGCUGAGCCCCACCCCCGCUCCUCUUGAGCCCCCCCCCCCCCCCAGGGGCCUGGGCUGGCUGGGGAACAGAGCAGGGUUUCUUCGUUCCUAAUCGGGAAGGUUUAUUGUCUGCAGUUAGAAGGGGAGGUCACCAUUUCAGAGCUUGACUAAUAAGCUCCAGGUGUUAGAAAAAUUCAGAGAGAAAUCUCAGGAAUCUCGUGGUGGUGUAUCCUCCCUGGGGCUAAAGUAUAGGAUUUUGCUUCGCAUAAAAAAAUUUCCCCCUUUCUGGGGGAAAAAAAAGAUAAUUAAAGGCAGAAUAAGUGCCUUUGGUUUGUGAGUUUCUGGAAUGGAACAUACUGCUUACAAUGUCACUAGACAAAUGACCCCAGCCACCCAAUGAACGUUUAUAAAUGAACCUUUAUUAAAGACACUGCAACACCGUUUGUUAGACACUUCAAUAUUUUACAUGUUUUUCAAUGUACAUUGUACCAAAAUUUCUAUAAAUAAAUAACUUUGUACAUAAAAGUAAUACUUCCUCUUUCACAUUGCCUCUCAGAAGCAGCAAAUUCACAUAUUUUGUGGAAGUAACAUGAAUCAGUUGACUGUUGAGAACACAAUUCUAAAUGUGCUUACCUUUUGCAACAG